GACGGGGGGUGCAAGCGUUGUUCGGAAUCAUUGGGCGUAAAGCGUGUGCAGGUGGCUCUACAAGUCAGAUGUGAAAGCCCCGGGCUUAACCCGGGAAGUGCAUUUGAAACUGCAGAGCUUGAGUAUGGAAGAGGGUCGUGGAAUUCCAGGUGUAGUGGUGAAAUACGUAGAUAUCUGGAGGAACACCGGUGGCGAAGGCGGCGACCUGGUCCAAUACUGACACUCAUACACGAAAGCGUGGGGAUCAAACAGG
rnacentral:rRNA from 1 species